rnacentral:rRNA from 1 species
CCGUAGGCGCCUUUCUUUCUCCUUCUUUCCUGGUCUUCCCUCUCGUUCCUUCUUUUUUUUCAGUCACUUGUGAAAGCGCCCGGCUCAACUGGGCGAGGCCGUGUGAGACUGAAAAACUGGAGAGAGGUAGAGGCGAAUGGAAUUCCGGGUGGAGUGGUGAAAUGCGUAGAGAUCCGGAGGAACACCAGUGGCGAAGGCGAUUCGCUGGGCCUACUCUGACGCUCAGACGCGACAGCAUGGGGAGCGAACGG